AGCGAACGCUGGCGGCAGGCCUAACACAUGCAAGUCGAACGAACUCUUCGGAGUUAGUGGCGGACGGGUGAGUAACACGUGGGGACGUGCCUUUAGGUUCGGAAUAACUCAGGGAAACUUGUGCUAAUACCGAAUGUGCCCUUCGGGGGAAAGAUUUAUCGCCUUUAGAGCGGCCCGCGUCUGAUUAGCUAGUUGGUGAGGUAAAGGCCCACCAAGGCGACGAUCAGUAGCUGGUCUGAGAGGAUGAUCAGCCACAUUGGGACUGAGACACGGCCCAAACUCCUACGGGAGGCAGCAGUGGGGAAUCUUGCGCAAUGGGCGAAAGCCUGACGCAGCCAUGCCGCGUGAAUGAUGAAGGUCUUAGGAUUGUAAAAUUCUUUCACCGGGGACGAUAAUGACGGUACCCGGAGAAGAAGCCCCGGCUAACUUCGUG
rnacentral:rRNA from 1 species